CAGUGCAGAUCGCAACCCACAAACCAAGAGGUAAUGACCUGAGCCGAAAUCAAGACGCUUAACCAACUGAGCCACCCAAGCACCCCUGGAAAUUUCUCAUUUCUAGUUUUCAACACUUCUGCAAGUUGCCUCAAGCAAUACUAUGCCGCACUGCAUCAUUGUUGAAUUGUGUUGGAAGUUUGAAAGAAGCUAGUGUUGUUUAAUGCUGCUUGAGGCCUUUCUAAGUUUGACUUUGUUCUGGGUAGAAUCUACAUGUGAUCCUUGGAUUUCAGGGAUGCAGUCGGUAGACUUGGUUGGUACUUGCUCUUGCUUGAAAGAUCAGGGUAAAUGCAUUUUAUGCCCGUUAGAUAUAUAGCUUCUAGGCCAUCCGUUACCUGUGUUCUUCAAGUUUGAAAACAUCGGUGACUUGUAGUAGCUCACCUUUCCUGUGGUGAUGGGAGAUGAUGAAGUGUCUAUGUGAUGAGAUGAAGUGAGGUGAAUGACAGGCAUUGUGAAGUAGCACCAGGCUACUCUUGACCUGAACGUGCAUCUGAAGGAGGGUCAUCUGCUUCCGUACUACAGCGGGCUACAGGGUAGUAGAUCCCAUGGCUCAAGAUUCACUUGUGAACUUUUACCAAAAGAAGGGUAGAGGCAGGCCUGCAACCGCAGAUCAUGCACACACAGUCCUCUCUUCCCCUCCCCUCCCCCUGCACCUAAGGUUGUUGGGUCCUGCUUGUAGGUUAUUACUUGGCAGGU